GUCUCACCUCGUUACCCAGGCUGGAGUGCAGUGGUGUGAUCAUAUCUCACUGUACAUCUCCAACUCCUGGGCUCAAGAAAUUCUCCUGCCAUAGCCUCCUGAGUAGGUAGGACUACAGGCAUGUGCCACCACACCCAGUAGCAUCUCUUCCUCAAAGAUGAGCCAGCCGUCAUUUGAAGAGGAGGAAAGACUGGAUUGGGGAAGAAUCUGGGGCAAAAUGAAGCCAAAUUGAGAACGAGGAGAAAAGAAGAUGCUAAGGCCGCAGAUAAGGAGGUCUUGAGUGUUACAGCUCUUUUUGAAUUUGUCUAGCAUGCUUUCUGCUUUUUACUGGAAAGUGCCCCCCCCCAAAAAAAUAAAAACGAAUAAAUAAAAAAGAAAGAUUUAAAAAAUAAA
rnacentral:lncRNA from 10 species